rnacentral:rRNA from 1 species
GAUGAACGCUAGCGGCAGGCUUAACACAUGCAAGUCGAGGGGUAUUUGGACUUCGGUUCAGAGAGACCGGCAAACGGGUGCGGAACACGUACACAACCUACCUUUAUCAGGGGGAUAGCCCAUAGAAAUGUGGAUUAAUACCCCAUAGUAUUAUGUGAUGGCAUCAUUAUAUAAUUAAAGAAUUUCGGAUAGAGAUGGGUGUGCGUAAGAUUAGCUAGUUGGUAGGGUAACGGCCUACCAAGGCAACGAUCAGUAGCCGACCUGAGAGGUGAUCGGCCACACUGGAACUGAGACACGGUCCAGACUCCUACGGGAGGCAGCAGUGGGGAAUAUUGCACAAUGGGCGAAAGCCUGAUGCAGCAACGCCGCGUGAGCGAUGAAGGCCUU